UUAAUGUCCAGGAGAGUGGCCCUCCGCAUGGAGGGUUGACUAGAGAUUUAUCGGUAUGGGAUGAGCUUGCGUCCGAUUAGCUUGUUGGCGGGGCAACGGCCCACCAAGGCGACGAUCGGUAGCCGGCCUGAGAGGGUGAUCGGCCACUUUGGGACUGAGAUACGGCCCAGACUCCUACGGGAGGCAGCAGUAGGGAAUAUUGCACAAUGGGGGAAACCCUGAUGCAGCAUCGCCACGUGUGGGAAGAAGCAUUUCGGUGUGUAAACCACUGUCAUGAGGGAAUNAGGCCCGCCUCCGGGCGGGAUUGANNGUACCUUGAGAGGA
rnacentral:rRNA from 1 species